UGAACUUUCUGACUCGAAUACCCAAUUUAUUGAUUGGGUAUGAUGAUUUUUAGUUGAAUAGGAAGAGCUGAUGC